UACGUAGGGUGCGAGCGUUAAUCGGAAUUACUGGGCGUAAAGCGUGCGCAGGCGGUUACUUAAGUCAGGUGUGGAAGCCCCGGGCUUAACCUAGGAAUUGCGCUUGAGACUGGGUAGCUUUGAGUGUGGCAGAGGGGGGUGGAAUUCCACGUGUAGCAGUGAAACGCGUAGAGAUGUGGAGGAACACCGAUGGCGAAGGCAGCCUCCUGGGCCAGCACUGACGCUCAUGCUCGAAAGCGUGGGGAGCAAACAGG
rnacentral:rRNA from 1 species